rnacentral:rRNA from 1 species
UACGUAGGGGGCUAGCGUUGUCCGGAUUUAUUGGGCGUAACGAGCGUGUAGGCGGCCAGAUAGGUCUGCUGUGAAAACUCGAGGCUCAACCUCGAGAUGUCGGCGGAAACCAUUUGGCUAGAGUCCGGAAGAGGAAAGUGGAAUUCCUGGUGUAGCGGUGAAAUGCGCAGAUAUCAGGAGGAACACCGAUGGCGAAGGCAGCUCGCUGGGACGGUACUGACGCUGAGGCGCGAAAGCGUGGGGAGCGAACAGG